AUACGGAGGGUGCAAGCGUUAAUCGGAAUUACUGGGCGUAAAGCGUGCGUAGGUGGUUUGGUCAGUUGGGUGUGAAAUCCCCGGGCUCAACCUGGGAAUUGCAUUCAAUACUGCCAAACUAGAGUUUAGGAGAGGAGAGUAGAAUUUCCGGUGUAGCGGUGAAAUGCGUAGAUAUCGGAAGGAAUACCAGUGGCGAAGGCGGCUCUCUGGACUAACACUGACACUGAGGCACGAAAGCGUGGGGAGCAAACAGGAUUAGAAACCCGAGUAGUCC
rnacentral:rRNA from 1 species